UGCAUCGGCAGGCGGACUCUCAACCACUGCGCCACCAGGGAAGCCCCGAGGGCUCCUCUUGAUGGGCAUCGCCGGGGACGUGGGAAAGGCAGGGAGGAGGAUGGGGGGGUCAGACAGUGAAGCUACCCCCGGCCCCGGCCGGUGCUCCUCGUGCCUCAUCUCAGUCCCCACACGACCUUACCACGAGUCCCUUCCCCUUCCCAGGGGAACAUGGGCCCACAGGCCAGCAGCGAGUAAGUGUGGGCCCAGCUCUGGAUCCAGGUCCUUCGGUGCUUCAGGCGUCUCUGGCCUGGUCCAAGGCUCCCCCAGGGUGAGGCUGCUCUGCCCCUCACUCUCUGUGAGACUUUUAGGCAAAUCACUUCACUGCCCCGGGCCUCAGUUUUCUCAUCUGUAGAGUGGGCUUACCGAGGGCUCCCUCCUAGAGCGUGUUCUCACUGGGAGAAAGCUGGUGUCGGGCCUCAGGUGCUGGGGUCUGCCGCGUAGCAGGGCUCCUUUUACACUGGUGUCCUGGUCGCUGAGGUUUCAGCCCUGGGGGCUGUGCCAGGAGGGCGGCGGCCUCUGAGCUCCGGCUUGCUUCCCAUUCACAUGCCGAGCGGCUCUCCCGAGGCUGAGCCAAGCUGCCCCACCCCAGCCUCCUGCACCCUGAGCCUUCCGGAAUCCCGGGUGCCUCCGUGAACUGGAGGUCAGAAGUCUGGGCUGUGACCUUCCCUGGGGGAGGGUCAACGUCGUCUGCCUGACAGCACCUCGUCUGCGCCGGGCCAGGGGCUGUGUGGCCUCGGGGUCCCUUGUCCUGCAGCAAAUGGAGCUUUUAGGAGGAACUUCCGUCUAGCCGAGGUCAGCUUUGCGUGGACUGGGGCUCUGCUGGGCCCUCCUUGUGUACUCCGGGGUCUCCAUACAGGGAAAGCGGGCUUGGGGCCGAGAAGUGCUGGGGAUGAACCAGCUUGGUCCUCAGAGGGUGAAUCCGUGGGUGUGAACUCUGCCUCUGCUGCCCUGGCUGUGUGACCUCAGGUGAUGGACUCACGCUCUCUGAGCCUCAGCGUCUGCAAGAUGGAAGAGUAAUCUCUGUCCCCCCAGGAUUACUGACAGGGGUAGGGAGAGGACGUCAGCUGGCUCAGAGCAGCUGCUGUGACUGUGAGCCCCUUCCUUUGCCUGCCCGAGGGCCCUGCACUCUGGGUGGUGGGGCAUGGAUUUGUUUUCGCUUAAGUGAACAGAUGUGGGUCUUUUCUGGUGGCCAGGAGUUGUCCCGCUGUUGAAAAGGCAAAGGGGCCAGGUCUCAUGUGGUGGGGUUGAGGGUGUUCAACUGCUCGCUGGCUGCUCCCACCCCUGCUCCCACCCCGCCGGUCACUCCGUCUGCCUCCAGGUGUGCAGGGGGUGCUGCCCCUCCACUGUUCCGUCCCUGCCCUGCGCCUUUGUUCCAGCGUCUGCCCGCGGAGUCAGCCCCCUCCUGAGGUCUCGCCUUCAGCUGCACAGCCUAGCUGCGGGGCUGACGUCCCAGAAAUGGGGAGGGUCUCCUCCUUCACUCUCGCAGGGGCGGCUUUUAUCACGUGGCUGUGGGCAUCCCCGGACGUGAAUCGAUCAGUGCGUCAAAGCCUCGUGACACCCAUGUGCGGGGGGACGGUCAUUAUGCCCAUUUCAGAGCGGAGGUGACUGAGGCACAGGGAGGUAACUGAGGGCAGCGAAGCAGAUGUUUGUCGACCACUGACUCUCGGCCUUUGCCCCAGCACCUCCCAGGGUUUGCCCAGCUGCCUGGCACGAGUAGGUAUUUUCCUGUUGUCAGCAGAUCGAGGCUCCAGGGCUGCCCUGUGUCCCCAGCCCAGGAAGCGCAAAACAGGGCCCAGGGCAGGGCUGGCAGGCCCCCAGCCCCAGAGGCUGAGAUUCUGGGGUUCUCUGGGGUCCAUAUGGUGGAGGGAAGGGGGAGCAGAACGAGCCAGUCUGGCUGGGGGGAGCCUGCCUGCCUGGGCCCAGUGCUCCCAGAAGCUGACGGGGUGGGCGGGGCGAGAAGGAGACAAGCUGUCUUGUCUCCCUUCCAGACCCCCACUCCCUGCCCCACUUGAGUUCUCAUUCAUGACAGUUCAUGGGCCCCGUGCUCUGGGCCAGACUGUAUCGGGUGCUGGGAAUGCAGUGGGCACCAGAAGGGUGGAGACCUCCCCGCCCAGCACACUCCUGCCCGGGGUGGGGGUGCCUGCUGUGACGCGCAGGCCUGGGACGGACGCGAUGAGGGAGCAAAGCCAGGUGCCCCCGGUGAGGCAGUUGGUGGAGGGGAGCCGCUGGUCGUGGGGAUGAGGAUGCAGCUGCAGCCGCUCCCUGGCUCCAGUUGUCGCCCUGGAGUUGGGGGCCCAGCGUGGCCCAUCACUUUAAGUUUUUCGAAAGAAGCCUAGGAUCUGGAAUUUUAUAUAAAAUCUCCCCGUUUGUAAAUGUUGGCAACUAAUUCACGUAUAUCAAAGCCUCAGUAAAGCAUGAAGUGGGCACUGGUUUGCUGCCAGUUUAGACUCAACGGAGCGCCAGCUGCUUCUCGUUAUACGUCUGGGUCGCAGAGGCCCAGAGGCAGGCAGGGGGUUGGCAGAGACUCACAGCGAGCUCCGAGGGUGGGGUCCCCGAAGUUCCGACUCCCAGGCCAGUGUGCUCCCCCCCCCAGACCUCCCUGCCCAGCAGAGUCGAAGCCCAGGAAACAGGUGGCACAGGCUGAAAGCCCCUGGAGAGAGUCACAGAGGGGACUGCAGGGUGAGGGCACAGCAGCAGUGGGAGCUGUCUCCCCAGGCCUGGAGGGGAGCUGUGGCCUUACAUAGAGGUGGCCAUGCCUGAGUGGGCGCCAGGCUCCAUCAGCAGUGGGCGGGGUGGAAGGUGAAUCUGGGACGGCAGGUUUGGUGGCUGCGGAGGCACCGGGAUCUACAGGACUCCACCUCCCAGGCCCAGGAGUUCUUGAUAGAUUCUGAGGAUGCGUCUUUUGUUGGAUCACAAGUGCCUUGUCUCGCUCUCUGACGUUUCUUUCCACUCUCGUGAGGACGUUUCCUGAUGAGCACCUUGCACAUGCUGUCUUUUCUGAGGAACGCAGAUUCCGAGGUUUAAGGAAAUACAAUUUACUGAUCUUUA